rnacentral:rRNA from 1 species
UACGAAGGGGGCUAGCGUUGUUCGGAAUUACUGGGCGUAAAGCGCGUGUAGGCGGGUCCUUAAGUCAGGGGUGAAAUGCCGGAGCUCAACUUCGGAACUGCCUUUGAUACUGGGGAUCUUGAGUCCGGGAGAGGUGAGUGGAACUGCGAGUGUAGAGGUGAAAUUCGUAGAUAUUCGCAAGAACACCAGUGGCGAAGGCGGCUCACUGGCCCGGAACUGACGCUGAGACGCGAAAGCGUGGGGAGCAAACAGG